ACGAACAACUAUGGCCUCGUGAGGAGCUGCAGAAAUGAGCUUUCUGUAGCUGUUGAAGUGUCUUUUCUUCUUGUGCUGUAUAAACUUCUCCAGAAGUUAACUCACCUUCUCCUUCUCUUUCGACCACCAUCGCGUGUUAGCUACGUCGUCGGUGCCUUCUUCAGUGUUGACCCCUCAGGCUGCAGAAGAGUGCGAUGACAAAGAAUGAAGCCAGAGGAGAAAUGCCACCACCAGAGACCCUGGCUGCAGAGCCCAGGAGACUCGGGCAUCUUCCUUUGGGGACACGGCUGUGCGUUUUCAGCUGUGGGCUGCUCUGUAUCAGACAUCCUGACACAUUGCAACACGGAUGGACCUUGAGGACAUCAUGCUGAGUGAAGCAAGCCCGUCACAGAAGGACAAAGACUGUAUGAUUCCACUUACAUGAGGUCCCUAGAGUCAUCAGAUUCAUGGACACAGGAAGUAGAGUGGUGGGUGCUGGGGCUGGGGAGCUGGUGAUGAUGGGGACAGAGUUUUCAGUUUGGGAAAAUGAGAAAGUUGUGGAGAUGAUGGUGGCGAUGGCUGCACAAUGGUGUGAAUAUGCUUAAUGCCACUGAGCUGUGCACUUAAAGAUGGUCAAGAUGGUCAAUUUGACAUUACGUGUAUUUUAACACAAUGAAAAAUAAAGUUUCUCUUUUAGAUAGA